rnacentral:rRNA from 1 species
CCUACGGGGGGCAGCAGUGGGAAAUAUUGCACAAUGGGGGAAACCCUGAUGCAGCAACGCCGCGUGAGUGAAGAAGUAUUUCGGUAUGUAAAGCUCUAUCAGCAGGGAAGAAGAAAGACGGUACCUGACUAAGAAGCACCGGCCAACUACGUGCCAGCAGCCGCGGUAAUACGUAGGGGGCAAGCGUUAUCCGGAUUUACUGGGUUGAAAGGGAGCGUAGACGGGUGUGUAAGUCUGAAGGGAAAGGCCGUGGCUCAACCGCGGAACUGCUUUGGAAACUGGAUAGCUUGAGUACGGGAGAGGCAGGCGGAAUGCCUGGUGUAGCGGUGAAAUGCGUAGAUAUUAGGAAGAACACCAGUGGCGAAGGCAGCCUGCUGGGCAGAAACUGACGUUGAGGCACGAAAGCGUGGGGAGCAAACAGGAUUAGAUACCCCAGUAGUC